rnacentral:sRNA from 1 species
ACUGCAAAAGCCCGUCUUGUGUGAAUGAGACUUGAUAGGUGGUUGGAAAGACUACUAGAAUUUUUCUGUCUAAGGACGGCCUUCAGUAAAGGGAGGGGAAUAGGAAAGGAAGCACCGUGUUGUGUCUGCCUUGAAACAGCCAAUGAAGGAAGCCACUAUUAACUAGUCCUACGAGAAAUAUUAUAAAUAUCACAGGUUUUUGUACUACUAUCGCUACAAACAAGACCCAGAUUACUGUCAGCAAGUCUGUUAUUAUUCCCUUUCUUAUUCAAUUGAUUUUUGGG